CUUCGAAAACUCUCCCUCUCUUCUCUCUUCGAUUUCAACACCUUAGAGCAUGAUUUCGGAUGAAGUCCAAGAAUUAAAGUUGCUAUUCGGAGCACAGGCUUUCCAAAUAUCCAAGAAAAAUCAUAAUCGGACCACGUGAGAGCUCGGUUGACUUGGUCAAAGGGUCGAGUUUUGCUCAAAACCCAUGAGGUACAAAGCACUGAGGUUGGUAUAGCGUGCGUGUCGUGCUUGUUGACCAUGUCUUUCAAAGGUAUAAAGGAAGCGAUCAUCUGCAUUUGUUUUGAAUGAAUCAUUUGAAAUAACGAUUAUUGUAAAUUGUAAUAUUAUUUUUGGUAUUUUUAAAAAUUGGGACUUCGAGCCAAGAUUGUAACAAUUGAAUUUAAAUUUGAGAAUAGGGGAAGAAAUGUCAUUUGGGUAUUAUCGGUA